ensembl:lncRNA
GUCGUCCAGUAAUGUGUUUCUGUAGCUACUCUGGUCCAUAAUAAAACGCUAUUAACAAUAAGAGGGUUUGUGUUAGCUAGAUGUUCUGCUUUACACACAAGAAAGAACAAGAAAACACAGUUAAACACAAAAACCUGCCAAUUAUGGCUCUACAUUGUAAAAACGUUUUGCCUAAAGAAGCAUGCUGAAAUAACCUUUGUGACAGUGCAAAUACAUCGAUAUCCCUGGUACAAAACAUUUAGGUUAGCAUUCCGUGAAACAUGCUAGUUCUCAGAAGAGAUCUGAACCCGUCUUAGAGUAGCAGAGUAGCAGCUCUGAGGAGAUAGCUUGUGUCUUUUCUUCUCGGACAAACGUCCUUCUUUAAAAGUACUAGGAGGUAACUACCACUGACACAUACACACAGGAGACAGGAAACAGCUCAGAAAAUUUUGAUUUUUUUUUCUCCUUUUGCUAGAGAGAGGGGGGGCGGUGGGAGGGGACUGAAGUUGUGGUUGGUUAAAGAAAUAUACAUCGUCACAACUGUCCAACACAUUCAAUAAAUAUUGGAGAUGGUACAGGUCAGAAGGGUUAAACACCAUCACAUAUACAAAGGAAGAAUAACAGAAUACAUGUUGGUAUGUGGUGUCUGGAGAUGAGGACAGAGAGAGAGUAGAGUUGGGUUCAGAGGAGAUGGAGGAGAUGGGCAGGACAGAGAGAGAGUAGAGUUGGGUUCAGGGGAGAUGGAGGAGAUGGGCAGGACAGAGAGAGAAUAGAGUUGGGUUCAGGGAGAUGGAGGAGAUGGGCAGGACAGAGAGAGAGUAGAGUGGGUUCAGGGGAGAUGGAGGAGAUGGGCAGGACAGAGAGAGAGUAGAGUGGGUUCAGGGGAGAUGGAGGAGAUGGGCAGGACAGAGAGAGAGUAGAGUGGGUUCAGAGGAGAUGGAGGAGAUGGGCAGGACAGAGAGAGAGUAGAGUUGGGUUGGGUUCAGGGGAGAUGGAGGAGAUGGGCAGGACAGAGAGAGAGUAGAGUGGGUUCAGAGGAGAUGGAGGAGAUGGGCAG